UUUUAAUUAAUUUCACAAAUAUUUUUUAAACAUGAAAAUGUGUAAAGAUUCUUCAAACAUUUUAUUAGUGAUAACAAAUAAAAUCAUUAUGCCACAUAUAUUAGGCACCUACUUGUUUAUAAUCGGAGAUUAAAUUUUUAUGAAAUUUUACAUUAUAUUAUGAAUUUAUCUUCAAUCUUCAAUCUUCAUAAAAUUGUUGGUACUUUUUCAUUAUCAAACUAUAUUAAUCUAAGAACCUUGAAACAUUUCACUAUUAGGUACUAAAAUUACUAGAAACGAUGUUACAUUGGGGUAAGUAUUGGCCGUUCUACAGUAUGUGGUUUUGACUUAUAAGUUGAGAGUCUGAUAAUUAUUGUUUCAGUGAUCAUACAUAGUCAGUAUGGAAAAAUUAACAAGAGCCGCACCGCUGCUAGUUUCACAUAUUAUAUUAAUUUAAAAUGAUAUAAUAAUUUUUUUCAGGGUAAAAUUGUUGUUGACAAAUUGUUUGUGAAAUUCAAACAUUUCCGUUUCGCUAAGUAUAAAAUGCAUAAAAAUAAAAUGCAACAUCCUAUAGAAAAAUUAAUUUUCGUACAUAACAUUAGCAGCCAAUUAUACAGAGUGAUAAUUUCUUCAUUGGACACAUAAAUCGAGAUUUUGGUGUGAUGCAAACAUUUUUUUGUUGCUUUAAUAAAAAAAUGUAUUAAUUUGUU